rnacentral:rRNA from 1 species
AUGGAGGCCACGGCGCCCGACUACUACGCCCGCGACAAGAAGGGCUCCGACCUCUUCGUCGUCGACGACCUCCUCGCGCUGCCGUGCGACGACGAGGAGGAGGAGGAGGAAGGGGUGGGCGACGCGCCGUUCCUGCCGGCCAACGCCGCCUCCGCCGCCGCAGUCGUCGUCAAGCAGGAGGCCGGGUUCGGGAACGCGUCGGCCGACUCGUCCACCGUCACGGCCCUCGACAGCUGCAGCAACUCCUUCUCCGGCCUCGCCGACGGCGACUUCUCCGGCGGCCUCUGCGAGCCGUACGAUCAGCUGGCGGAGCUGGAAUGGCUGUCCAACUACAUGGGCGAGGGCGAGGAGAGCUUCGCCACGGAGGACCUACACAAGCUGCAGCUCAUCUCUGGCAUCCCCUCCGGCGGCUUCCCCUCGGCGAACGGGCCGCCUGCUCCGGCGGCCACCGCUGCCACGGCGCAGCCCGGCGUGUUCCUGCCGGAGGGCCCCGUCCCCGCCAAGGCCCGUAGCAAGCGCUCCCGCGUUGCGCCGGGCAACUGGUCGUCCCGCCUGCUCGUUCUCCCGCCGGCCCCGGCCUCCCCGCCGUCCCCGGCGUCCAUGGCCAUCUCGCCGGCGGAGUCUGGCGUCUCAGCCCAGGCGUUCCAUGUCAAGAAGCCUUCCAAGCCGGCCAAGAAGAAGGAGGUGCCGCCGCAGGCGCAGGCACAGGCUCAGACUCAGUCGGUGAGCGCGCCCACAGCGCCUUCGGGCGUCACGGCGGCGGCCAACGAAGGUCGGCGGUGCCUGCACUGCGAGACGGACAAGACGCCGCAGUGGAGGACGGGGCCCAUGGGCCCCAAGACGCUGUGCAACGCGUGCGGGGUGCGCUACAAGUCGGGGCGGCUGGUGCCGGAGUACCGCCCGGCCGCGAGCCCGACGUUCGUGACGUCGAGGCACUCCAACUCCCACCGCAAGGUGCUCGAGCUCCGCCGCCAGAGGGAGAUGCACCACCACCACCAGCCGUCGCAGCUCCAGCAGCACGCGGUCGCCGGCGGCGUCGGGAGGAUAAUGCACAUGGAGAGCCACCUGCUGUUCGAUGGGCCGGCGGCGCCGCCCAUCCUCGGCGGCGGCGACGACUUCUUGAUCCACCACCGCCUAGGGACGGCAGACUACCGGCAGCAGCUCAUCUAG